GCUGGGCGCAGUGGUGCACCCCUGUAAUCCCAGAGACUUGGGAGGCUGAGGCAGGAGGAUCGCAAGUUUGAGGCCAGUCUCAGCAACUUAGUGAGACCCUGAGCCAAUUAGUAAGACCCUGAGCAAGUUAGUGAGACCCUGGGCAACUUAGCAAGACUCUGUCUCAA
rnacentral:sRNA from 1 species